rnacentral:rRNA from 1 species
AUUGAACGCUGGCGGCAUGCCUUACACAUGCAAGUCGAACGGCAGCACGGGAGCAAUCCUGGCGGCGAGUGGCGAACGGGUGAGUAAUAUAUCGGAACGUGCCCAGUAAUGGGGGAUAGCCCGGCGAAAGCCGGAUUAAUACCGCAUACGACCUACGGGUGAAAGCAGGGGAUCGCAAGACCUUGCGUUAUUGGAGCGGCCGAUAUCAGAUUAGCUAGUUGGUGGGGUAAAAGCCUACCAAGGCGACGAUCUGUAGCUGGUCUGAGAGGACGACAGGCCAACCUGGGCCUGAGACACGGCCCAGACUCCGACGGGAGGCAGCAGUGGGGAAUUUUGGACAAUGGGCGCAAGCCUGAUCCAGCCAUGCCGUGUGUGGGAAGAAGGCCUUCGGGUUGUAAACCACUUUUGUCAGGGAAGAAACGCUCUGGGCUAAUACCCUGGGGUAAUGACGGUACCUGAAGAAUAAGCACCGGCUAACUACGUGCCAGCAGCCGCCGUAACAC